CAGCAUCGAGAAGACCAUUAAUGAGUGAGCAGACAUCCAAGUGGUUUCUUUUAUUGGUCACGCUCAGUGCAAGUUAUUCUCUAACAACCACUCAUACCCUUACUCUAGUAUCCCUACACUGUAGACCUGAGACUCAUCUGCCUAUAAGGAAGGUGAACCGUACAUUGAUCUCGAAUGAAUUGAUCACUAUCCUCUAUGACGAUCCUUUGAUCGGGAGUAUUUAGAAAUUAACCACUAAUUAAUGUAUGUCUCAAAUUCUCAAUACUUUGAGAAUAUAUAAAAAUUAUCUUUAUUAAUUUUUAAGAUAAAUCAUGGACAUAU
rnacentral:lncRNA from 1 species